CUCUUAUCAAGAGUGGUGGAGGGAUGUGCCCUUUGAAGCCCGGCAACCGUCUGAAUCAGAAAUGGUGCCAAUUCACAUGAAGUUACUAUUAACUUUGGGAGAUGAGAG
rnacentral:ncRNA from 2 species